AACAAACGCUGGCGGCGUGCCUAACACAUGCAAGUCGUACGAGAAAGGGUCCUUCGGGGCCUGAGUAAAGUGGCGCACGGGUGAGUAACGCGUGGAUAAUCUGCCCUUCAGUUGGGAAUAACUCAUCGAAAGGUGGGCUAAUACCGAAUAAUGCUGUGAGACCUCGGUUGAUCAGCCAAAGAGCGCCUCUGCUUGCAAGCCCUCGCUGAAGGAUGAGUCCGCGUACCAUUAGCUAGUUGGUAGGGUAAUGGCCUACCAAGGCGACGAUGGUUUGCUGGUCUGAGAGGAUGAUCAGCCACACUGGAACUGAGACACGGUCCAGACUCCUACGGGAGGCAGCAGUGAGGAAUCUUGCGCAAUGGGGGCAACCCUGACGCAGCAACGCCGCGUGAGUGAGGAAGGUCUUCGGAUCGUAAAGCUCUGUCGGAUGGAAAGAACCGCAUAGGGGUAAACAGCCCCUGUGUCUGACGGUACCGUCAAAGGAAGCACCGGCUAACUCCGUGCCAGCCGCCGCCGUAAUAC
rnacentral:rRNA from 1 species